GUGUCAGCCGCCGCGGUAAGACAGAGGUGGCAAGCGUUGUUCGGAUUCAUUGGGUGUAAAGGGUUCGUAGGUGGCCCAGCAAGUCUGACGUGAAAUCCCAUGGCUCAACCGUGGAACUGCGUUGGAAACUGCAGGGCUUGAGUACCGCAGAGGUAAAGGGAAUUCCCGGUGUAAGGGUGAAAUCUGUAGAUAUCGGGAGGAACACCAGUGGCGAAGGCGCUUUACUGGGCGGUUACUGACACUGAGGAACGAAAGCAAGGGGAGCAAACAGGAUUAGAAACCCUCGUAGUCC
rnacentral:rRNA from 1 species